GACGAACGCUGGCGGCGUGCUUAACACAUGCAAGUCGAACGGAAAGGCCCUGCUUUUGUGGGGUGCUCGAGUGGCGAACGGGUGAGUAACACGUGAGUAACCUGCCCUUGUCUUUGGUAUAACUUCAGGAAACUGGGGCUAAUACCGGAUGGAAGCUCCGCCUGAAUGGGGGGGGUGGGAAAGUUCCGGCGGUUGGGUGUGGAUUCGCGGCUUACCAGCUUGUUGGUGGGGUAGGGGCUUACCAAGCAUUUGAGGGUUCGCCGGCCUGAGAGGGUGACCGCCCACAUUGGGACUGAGAUACGGCCCAGACUCCUACGGGAGGCAGGAGUGGGGAAUAUAGCACAAUGGGCGGAAGCCUGAUGCAGCAACGCCGCGUGCGGGAUGACGGCCUUCGGGUUGUAAACCGCUUUCGCCUGUGACGAAGCGUGAGUGACGGUAAUGGGUAAAGAAGCACCGGCUAACUACGU
rnacentral:rRNA from 1 species